GGAUAGAUGUCUGAGUCUGGUUUAAGGUAUCGGUCUUGAAAACCGAAGGGCUCACUGCCCCGGGGGUUCGAAUCCCUCUCUAUCCG
rnacentral:tRNA from 1 species